UGUAAGCGUAUACCAAAGUUGUUGCAGUUAAAACGCUCGUAGUCGGAAUUUGGCAGUUCCGGAUGUGUGCACGUCGUGUGCGCACUUCGCGGGGAUUGCUUUUGUGGUCUUGCGUAGGAUGAGGCACUUUUACCAGUGAACGUCCUCACGCAACCACUUUUUACUGUGAGAAAAUCAGAGUGCUCAAAGCAGGCAUUUGCCGUGAAUGUAUUAGCAUGGAAUAAUAGAAUAGGACUUGGUUCUAUUUUGUUGGUUUGUUGGGACUGAGUAAUGAUUAAGAGGGACAGUUGGGGGCAUUUGUAUUUCGGUGCUAGAGGUGAAAUUCUUAGAUUACCGAAAGACAAACUGCUGCGAAAGCGUCUGCCAAGGAUGUUUUCAUUGA
rnacentral:rRNA from 1 species